UGCAAAUGAUGUGCAAACGGUCAAUUGUAAUUUAGAUCUUGUGAUUAGGAAGCUCUCCCUGUAUAGACUCGUGUGACUCUAUUUCUAUAGCGAUGGUGUAUAAGAAAAUUCGUUACAAGAAAAGUGGCCUUCACGGUGACACAUGGGUGACCCGUUGGGUGGACACAGAUCACUGGCCCUACUGGUGCAGAGAUUGGUACGAAGUAGCACCAACAGUGGAGACAAGGAUUAAGAUUGAAACGGAAACAGGACUCUACAACAAGAAGGAGGUUCACGAGGUGUCUGUUCAGCAUGAUGCCACAACAUCUGUAUCCGUGGAAACUAAACCAAUCCGUGAGUGGGAAAGAACGACAUCCAAGGCUUUGGCAUUGAAAUAAUUUACCCACAAUCGUGGAAAACUUCUAACACAUCUCUGCACAAUUGCUCCAGAAUGGCACACAAUUGCUGCAAUUAAAUUGAGUCGUCGUGGUUGAGACAAAAAGUAACUCCACGAUUAAUUAACUAACAUUUAUACGUUUUGUAUAUACGCAAUGGUCAAAAUAUAUGGCAAAUAAAGCGGCAAAAA